UAUUCUCAUUAUAUAAAAAGACUGCCCAUUAGUAUAACUGCUGAAGAGUUGUUGAGUUGAGACCGAUGGUGAAUGAAGAGAAUCCAGGAAGAAAGACGUCACAAGCAGACAUAUAAAUAAGAUUAUUAUUUUUGGUUUUAAAAGAUUACAAGAAGAGGAAGGUUAAAGAUAGAGUUAACUAAAGCGAGCGAGACGAAGGCGGGACAUUAAGGGUGCGACUCGCUAGGGUUUAAAAACAAAGAAAACAAUUGCGAAGGCAAUCACUCCUUACUCUUGGUCUCUUCUGAAAACGUUUUGUUAUUUCUGGUUAAGUCGAGGCCUGCUGUGCGAGUAUGGUAGAAGUCGAUGGAAUAGAGAACCUUGAAUUCAAGUGGGGUAAAAAAAGAGGAACUGGGGGGACAAAUACGAAAGUUCAGUUUUACGAAUCAUUUACUUAUGACGGUCUUGACUACACUCUUUAUGACAAUGUUUAUCUUCACAAGGAAGGUGAACCAUUGCCAUAUCUUGGAAAACUUAUAAAAAUAUGGGAGACUGCUAGUCGGUUGAAGAAAGUGAAGGUUUUAUGGUUUUUCCAACCUUCUGAGAUCUCAAAUUAUCUUUUCGUUGAAUUGGCACAUCCAAAUGAAGUAUUUUUGGCAUCUGGUGAAGGAGUAGGCCUUGCCAACAUUAAUCCAUUGGAAGCAAUUGCUGGAAAAUGCAAUGUAGUUUGCAUUUCAAAGGAUGACAGAAAUCCACAACCUUCAGACGAAGAUAUCCAAAUGGCUGACUAUGUGUUUUACCGUACAUUUGAUGUCGGGCAGCGCAUUAUUUUGGACAAGAUAGAUGGAAAAAUUGCUGGAAUUGAUGUUAAAUUUAUUUUUAACCAAUCGGGUUCUCUGAAGCCUUGUUCUAUUCAUAACUUUAGUGUGGAUGAACCUGCUAGUGAAAAUGCUAUUGAAACAAAUGGAAGAGUGGUUAUGUCUAAGCUAAACUCAUCUGAGAACCAAAUUCCUGAAGAUGAUAGACAAGUGGAACAGAAACCUGUGGUUGCAGAGAAUGGCUUUAACCACAAAGCUGAAGAGAAUUCAGAUGUAAAAGCUUCAUCAGUUAAACCGAAUCUCUCCCUGCAACAGGAAGUUGUUCCUGGUGUAGUUUCAGAGUCAGGUGAACUGGCCAAAACCAAUGACAGAUCUGGUGAUAGGACAGGUUUGAGCCUUAAAAUUAAAGCAAAUGCAGACUCUAAACUGAAAAAUCCUUCUGGUGAGGAGAUAGGUUGUGUCAAUCAAGUCAAAAGUGAAGAAAAAUUAAAAUCCGUUAAGGAUACAGUUGAGUUGGAUGAGAGGCCACAUAAGAAAGCAAAGCUUGAUAAUUCUGUGAAAGUCUACAGUGACAAGGAAACUACAAAAUGUGCUACAGAACCUUGUGGGACAGCCAAAAUCCCUUCCAAAAAGCUGAAGAUUGAUGAUAAAUUCAAAAAAUCUACUAACUGCAAAUCUCCUGCAGUGCCUUCAAAUGAUGGUAUUAAAACUGGUGACAAAGCUAUGGAAGUUACCCGUAGGCCUGAUUCUGAUAGGAGCAAAUGGUUUGGAGAACUCCCUUGGGAAGAAAGUUUGCAAGAUGCACACGAGUUUGGAAAACUUGUUCUGUUUCAGAACUUGGAUCCAGCUUACUCUUCAGCAGAAGUGGAGGAUAUAGUUUGGAAUGCCUUCAGUGAAACUUGCAGAGCAAAGAUGGUGCAGCAGACUGCAUAUUCUAGCCCUCAUUUUGGACAAGCUUUUGCUAUAUUCAAGUCAAGGGAAGUUGCAGAGGAUGUUAUUAAAAAAUUGGAUGAGAGAUGCCUGUUGCUACCAAAUCGGAGGCCGCUUGUAGCCAGCAUUCCGAAUCCUUGCUUCUCAAGGAAGCAGUCAAUGUUUGCAGGCCAUCUUAUUGUUGAUAAACUCAAAUCCCAAAGGGAGAUGAAAGAAGCAGUAUCUACUUCACAUUCUUCCCAGCCUAACACAGUUGAAUAUGAUAUGGCCAUGGAAUGGUUUUUAAUGACUGAAAGAUCCAAUCAGUUCUGGAAAAAAUUAUACGAGCAACAAGGGAAAGAGCUAAAAAAACUGAGGGUUAACUUUAAGUCCAAAUGAGCACUAAUAAUUUUGUCUUCCCCUGAUUUUGUAUGUUCCUUUGAAUUAAAAGGAAGCCAUUUUAUGAAGCAAACCACUAAUGCGGAGUUCUGUUUAGACCUCUGAUAUGAAGUUGUCAAGGUGAUGGAAGUGUGGAAACUUGAUUUUAGUUGUGUUCUCAGGUGCACUUCAAUUAGGCGGUGCAACAGACGGGGUAUGCAAAAAUGGAGGCCCGAGCUGUGUUCGGUAUUCAGGCAAAUUUUGGGAAGUGUAAUUAUGACAUGCAGUUCAGUUUUAGCAAGAUGGUUAGAUCCUCUCAUAUACAUAUAUUUUCUCGAUUAUGGGCAAUUUGUAUAAUCCUUUCUGCGAUGCCCUCUUUUUUGCUAGGAUACGUUUUCCUAGCUCUGGCUGUUGUUUAGUUUUGUUUCCUCCUGCCGAACACUCUUGGGUUGUUUUUUGCAGAUUACAACUAACUUCCAUGUUUGGAACUUUCAACUAAAAACAUAA